rnacentral:rRNA from 1 species
AUUGAACGCUGGCGGCAGGCCUAACACAUGCAAGUCGAGCGGAUGAAGGGAGCUUGCUCCUGGAUUCAGCGGCGGACGGGUGAGUAAUGCCUAGGAAUCUGCCUGGUAGUGGGGGAUAACGUCCGGAAACGGGCGCUAAUACCGCAUACGUCCUGAGGGAGAAAGUGGGGGAUCUUCGGACCUCACGCUAUCAGAUGAGCCUAGGUCGGAUUAGCUAGUUGGUGGGGUAAAGGCCUACCAAGGCGACGAUCCGUAACUGGUCUGAGAGGAUGAUCAGUCACACUGGAACUGAGACACGGUCCAGACUCCUACGGGAGGUAGCAGUGGGGAAUAUUGGACAAUGGGCGAAAGCCUGAUCCAGCCAUGCCGCGUGUGUGAAGAAGGUCUUCGGAUUGUAGAGCACUUUAAGUUGGGAGGAAGGGCAGUAAGUUAAUACCUUGCUGUUUUGACGUUACCAACAGAAUAAGCACCGGCUAACUUCGUG